rnacentral:rRNA from 1 species
GGUCAAGUUAGUAAGGGUCCACGGUGGAUGCCUUGGGGCCAGGAGCCGAAGAAGGGCGUGGCAAGACUGCGAAAAGCCCCGGUCAGCUGUCUAGCGAGCUUAGCCGGGGAUGCCCGAAUGGGGAAACCCCCCUUGGGUCAAUCCAAGGGACCCCGAUUUAUCGGGGGGGUAAGCGGGUGAACUGAAACAUCUAAGUAACCCGAGGAAAAUAAAUCAACCGAGAUUCCCAAAGUAGUGGCGAACGAAAUGGGAAUAGCCCAAACCUUCCGGGCUUAGUGGGCUGAGGCCCUAUGUCCGGAGGGGGUUGUAACACACACCUGUUCCAGCCUCAGGAGGAGCAAGGAGUAAGAAACUCGUUCCUUAGCCGAACGAUCCUGGAAAGGACGACCGGAGAAGGUGAUAGUCCUGUAAGCGAAAGGGAACGAGCUCCUGGUGUGCUGUUGAGUACCACGGGACACGUGAAAUCUUGUGGGAAGCUGGGGAGACCACUCUCCAAGGCUAAAUACUCCUGGCCACCGAUAGUGAACCAGUACCGUGAGGGAAAGGUGAAAAGUACCCCAGAUGGGGAGUGAAAUAGACCUGAAACCGUGGACUUACAAGCCGUGGGAGUCCUUCCUUGGAAGGAUGACUGCGUGCCUUUUGAAGAAUGAGCCGGCGAGUUAAUCUAGGCAGCUUGGUUAAGGAGCAUGAGUUCCGGAGCCGAAGCGAAAGCGAGUCCGAAUAGGGCGUGCCGCGGGCGGCGGCAAAUCCUGCGGAGGAAGACCGAGAUGACGCAAACCUUGUGCCAGAGUGCCUUCGGGCGCUUGAAGCACGUUCAGGUGCGCUGACUUUCGGGAAGAAUCCAAAGGUCGAGCCGCCACUAUGCCUGCAGUGUUGUCUGGAUUAGACCCGAAACCGGGUGAGCUACCCAUGGCCAGGCUGAAACCCCGAUAAUAUCGGGGCGAAGGGCCGAACCCGUGUCUGGUACAAAAGGCUGGGAUGAGCUGUGGGUAGAGGUGAAAUGCCAAUCGAACUCGGAGAUAGCUGGUUCUCCCCGAAAUGUAUUUAGGUACAGCCUCAAGGUAGUCUGGGGGAGGUAGGGCACUGGAUGGGCUAGGGGGCGUGAGCCUGCCAAACCCAACCAAACCACGAAUGCCCCUAGAUGUUCCUUGGGAGUGAGACAGUGGGGGAUAAGCUCCAUUGUCGAGAGGGAAACAGCCCAGACCGCAGGCUAAGGUCCCGAAGUGUGGACUAAGUGUGAAAGGAAGUGGGGGUCCUAAAACAGCUAGGAGGUUGGCUUAGAAGCAGCCAUCCUUUGAAGAGUGCGUAACAGCUCACUAGUCAAGGGGUCCUGCGUCGAAAAUGUAACGGGGCUAAAGUCCGCCACCGAAGCCACGGUCCCUUCGAUUCAGUCGGAGGGAGGUAGGGGAGCGUUCCCAGGGCGCUGAAGUUCUAGACGUGAGUCGGGAUGGCGCGCUGGGAAGUGAGAAUGCCGGCAUGAGUAGCGACACUCCUGGUGAGAAUCCAGGACACCGAAAGCCUAAGGUUUCCUACGCAACGUUGAUCGGCGUAGGGUAAGUCGGGCCUAAGCCAUAGCGUACAAGCGAAGGCGAUGGACAACGGGUCAAAAUUCCCGUACCACCGUUAUAUCGUUUUAAGGCAAAGGGGGGACGCGGGAAGAUAGGCGGAGCGCGCCCAUUGGACAUGGUGCGUUUAGCCCUGAAGGC